rnacentral:rRNA from 1 species
GUAUGCAAUCUGCCCUGUACUAAGGGAUAGCCCGGGGAAACUCGGAUUAAUACCUUAUGGUAUCACAGAUAGGCAUCUUGAAGUGAUUAAAGAUUUAUCGGUACAGGAUGAGCAUGCGUAAGAUUAGAUAGUUGGUGAGGUAACGGCUCACCAAGUCGAUGAUCUUUAGGGGGUCUGAGAGGAUGAUCCCCCACACUGGUACUGAGAUACGGACCAGACUCCUACGGGAGGCAGCAGUAGGGAAUAUUGGUCAAUGGGCGAGAGCCUGAACCAGCCAUGCCGCGUGCAGGAUGACGGCCUUCUGGGUUGUAAACUGCUUUUAUACGGGAAGAAAAAGUCCUUGCGAGGAAAAUUGCCGGUACCGUAUGAAUAAGCACCGGCUAACUCCGUGCCAGCAGCCGCGGUAAUACGGAGGGUGCAAGCGUUGUCCGGAUUUAUUGGGUUUAAAGGGUACGUAGGCGGGUCUUUAAGUCCGUGGUGUAAGCCUGCAGCUUAACUGCAGAACUGCCAUGGAUACUGGAGGUCUUGAAUUCAGUUGAGGUAAGCGGAAUUUAUGAUGUAGCGGUGAAAUGCAUAGAUAUCAUAAAGAACACCUAUUGCGAAGGCAGCUUGCUGGACUUGGAUUGACGCUGAGGUACGAAAGCGUGGGGAGCGAACAGGAUUAGAUACCCUG